UACGAAGGGGCUAGCGUUGCUCGGAAUCACUGGGCGUAAAGCGCACGUAGGCGGAUUGUUAAGUCAGGGGUGAAAUCCUGGAGCUCAACUCCAGAACUGCCUUUGAUACUGAAGAUCUUGAGUUCGGGAGAGGUGAGUGGAACUGCGAGUGUAGAGGUGAAAUUCGUAGAUAUUCGCAAGAACACCAGUGGCGAAGGGCGGCUCA
rnacentral:rRNA from 1 species